UACGGGGGGAGCAAGCGUUGUUCGGAUUUACUGGGCGUAAAGGGCGCGUAGGCGGCCAGCGCAAGUCGGUUGUGAAAUCUCCGGGCUUAACUCGGAAAGGUCAACCGAUACUGCGCGGCUAGAGUGCGGAAGGGGCAACUGGAAUUCUCGGUGUAGCGGUGAAAUGCGUAGAUAUCGAGAGGAACACCUGCGGCGAAGGCGGGUAGCUGGGCCGACACUGACGCUGAGGUACGAAAGCGUGGGGAGCGAACAGG
rnacentral:rRNA from 1 species